AUGGGGUCACAAAGAGUCGGACACAACCGAGCGACUGAACAACUGCUGCUCCCGCCCCCAAAACUGGUGAUGGGGCUCUGGAAGGCUCCCCCACUGCUGUGUCUCUCAAGCUUUCGUCUGGUGGACACCAUUGGAGGAAAUUUUGCUUGGGCCACCUCACCUGCUCUCCUGGCCUGCAGCCUCCUCCUGCUCCUACUGAAAUGUUUCUGCCACUUAGAGCUGAUCCUGUUCCUCCCCAGCGCCCUCUCGGGUCGUAGGUCUGGCUUCUCCCAUCUAAAAUAUCCCCAUCUCAGAGUUCAGAUGCUCCCUGUAUCCGUCUCCCCCAAAGCCUCCAGGGCCAGGUCCCUUCUACCCAGAAUGCCCUUCUCCGGUCACCAUGGCAACCAUUCUGGUCUCCCCUCAGGGUUCCACCCGCUGGUCUUCUCUGUCUGGCUCAGAGGCUCAGGAAAGGGAGAGGGAGGCCAAGCAACCCAGAGUCUGGAAGUCAUGGCCAUGAACUUUCAGGAAAAUGUGACCCUGGCCAUGGCCGUAUUCACCAUCCUUGCUUCCAUCUACUUCUUCAACAAGGCGCAGCAAUGAGAAGACACAGCACCACCUAACCCAAGAGUCCUGCCUCUGUCCCGACCAUGACUCUGGCCUCUGAGACCAAAUAAAUGUGACUGAGUCAGCACACCCUGCUCCAUCUCACCAGGCCAGCAGGCAUACCGCCUCCGGCCAGCUCUGUCUGAGGUCCAGGCUUCUGGGUCAGAGAGAGGAAGCCUGGACUCCUGGGUCUGGGGAAGUUGGGGACUAGCAAGAUAGACUUUUAGAUUCGAGGCUAGGAGUCCAGUCAUUGAGCUGGGUUUUGAAGGAUGAGUAGGAGUCUGUCAGAGUUUAGAGGGGGGAAGGACAUUCCAACUUGUGUGCAAGAGCACAGAGAGGAGAAAUAACAGGGCUGAUUCCCCACCUGGUACCAACACAGACUGCUGUGUACUUCAGAUUUAUUUCUUCUCUCUGAGCCUUGGUUUUCUCCUUGGACUCCAAAAGGCCGUAGCAAGGAUAACCUAACACGAAAGAUGUGAAUGGAAUUUGCAAGCUACGGAAGGUCUGUAGUGGUCAUCUUCACUGUUUCAUUGUAUCAACACAUCUUUCUCUUAGCAAACUCCUAUUCAGCCUUCAAUGCCCACUGCAAAUGCCCCUCACUAUAAAAGUAUCCAGACCUCCAAACACAUAGCCAGUUACCCCCUCCCUCCCUCACUGCCUCCUCUCCGCUCCCUGUCUCCAUCCCCAGUAGGUGGAAUGCCCUGGGUGAUACGCUAGUCUUUAGUUGAGCUUUAUUCAUUUUUUUUCAUCAGAUAAACAUUUCAUUUCAAUUCAAGAUUUGAAAAGGAGACUCCUGAGCAGAGUGACUGAACAUCCUGGGUUUCCCAGGGAAGGCCUAGCAAAUUCGAAUUAGGAAUUGAUUUAUAGUCUUACUAUAAUUUUGGCUUGUGGAAUGCAAAGCACUUUGGGCCAGUUAUUCCAGUAUAAUUGGGACUCGAAUCCUCUUUAUUUCUUCCUUUUUAUUUAUUUAUUUUUAGCUGUGCUGGGUCUUCAUUGCUUUGAGGGAUCUUCUUUAGUUGCAGCUAGCAGGGGCCCCUCUCUAGUUGUGGUGCGCCGGCUUCUCAUUGCGGGGGCUUCUUUCGUUGCAGAACACAGGCUCUGGGGCUCAUGGGCUUCCGUAGUUGCAGCACGUGGGCAGCUAAUAGCUGCGGUGCACAGGUUUAGUUGCUCCGCAGCAUGUGGGAAUCUUCCAGGACUGGGAGUCGAACCCACCUCUCCUGCACUGGCAGGCGGAUCCUUUACCACUGAGCCAUCAGGGAAGCCCCUUUCUUUAAGUCUUGAAAGUGGUCUGAUUCAAAAGGUAGUCUUACUUACAGAGGGGCUGGCUUCCCAGGUGGCACUAGUGGUAAAGAACCCGCCUGCCAGUGCAGGAGGCUUAAGAAGACAUAGGUUCGAUCCCUGGAUGGGGAAGAUCUCCUGGAGGAGGGCAUGACAACCCACUCCUGUAAUCUUGCCUGGAGAGUCCUAUGGCCAGAGGAGCCUGGCAGGCCACAGUCUAUAGGGUCACAAAGAGUCGGACACAACUGAAGCGACUCAGCACACAGCACUUACAGGAGACCUUGUUUGCAAAUCUGAGAAUGACCACACGGGGGCGGUGUUGGACCAUGUUCCCAGCCAGAACUUGGUCCCCUGGUUAAGUUAGUUGAUUUCUGCAAAACCAGAAUUCUGUGACCUGGGCGGGGAAGCUUUCCUCGUCCCUGGACCUUCCCCCUGCCCCCCAUCCCUCUCCUCCAGUCCUCCUGGGGUCCUUCUAUAAGCAGAGCUGACCUGUCCUUCCCUGCUCACAGUCCCUCCCCCAGGAUAGCUGUCCCAGCCCAACAGACUGGCAUUGCAGCAAGGUGUAUCUAACCUGACAGCCCUCCAGGCUUUCUUUUUAAAAUCUCGCCCACUUCCCAUGCCCCUCCUGUAGCACACCCUUGCCCAGCUGCUGAGUCGUGUCUGACUCUUUUGUGACUCCAUGGACUGCAGCCUUCCAGGCUCCUCCGUCCAUGGGAUUUUUCAGGCAAGAUUACUGGAGUGGGUUGCCAUUUCUUUCUCCAGGGGAUCUUCCCGCACCAAGGAUCGAAUCCAGGUCUCCUCGAGUGUGUCUCCUGCAUUGGGAGGCAAAUUCCAUAUGUAACUGAGACGGUUUAGAAAAAGAAAAAGAAAAACACACCCCAGGGCCAUUGCACAUGCUGUGCUCCCAGCCUGGAGCAUCCACCUC
rnacentral:lncRNA from 1 species